rnacentral:lncRNA from 1 species
AGUAAUAGUCUAGCAAAAUGGGACAAAAUUGAGCUACCGCCAGUUUGACUAAGUUAUGAGCAGUAUAGCAAAGUAAGGUAAAGUUGUAAUAACUAUUUGAGCAAAUUGUCCAAAUAGCCACUAAACUUUUAGCUUGGAGUACUUUCGGUCAUCUUACUAUUAAAAAAUUAAACUUACACACUAAACUCAAUAAAGUCUACAUUUCUAACCAUUCUGUUUAUUUUUUUUUUAGUUAAAAUUGAUAGAGCACAAAACAUGCACGAGCAAAAUUAUAGGGUCAUUUUUGUCAACCUAGAAAAUUAUUUUUUUGUUCCCUUUUUUCAUUAGUUUUCCUUGUACUUCUUAACCAUUU